AGUGAACGCUGGCGGUAGGCCUAACACAUGCAAGUCGAACGGCAGCACAGUAAGAGCUUGCUCUUACGGGUGGCGAGUGGCGGACGGGUGAGGAAUACAUCGGAAUCUACUUUUUCGUGGGGGAUAACGUAGGGAAACUUACGCUAAUACCGCAUACGACCUACGGGUGAAAGCAGGGGAUCUUCGGACCUUGCGCGAUUGAAUGAGCCGAUGUCGGAUUAGCUAGUUGGCGGGGUAAAGGCCCACCAAGGCGACGAUCCGUAGCUGGUCUGAGAGGAUGAUCAGCCACACUGGAACUGAGACACGGUCCAGACUCCUACGGGACGCAGCAGUGGGGAAUAUUGGACAAUGGGCGCAAGCCUGAUCCAGCCAUACCGCGUGUGUGAAGAAGGCCUUCGGGUUGUAAAGCCCUUUUGUUGGGAAAGAAAAGCAGCAGGUUAAUACCCCGCUGUUCUGACGGUACCCAAAGAAUAAGCACCGGCUAACUUCGUG
rnacentral:rRNA from 1 species